rnacentral:rRNA from 1 species
GAAACAUCUUCGGGUUGUGAGGUUAAGCGACUAAGCGUACACGGUGGAUGCCCUGGCAGUCAGAGGCGAUGAAGGACGUGCUAAUCUGCGAUAAGCGUCGGUGAGGUGAUAUGAACCGUUAUAACCGGCGAUUUCCGAAUGGGGAAACCCAGUGUGUUUCGACACACUAUCAUUAACUGAAUCCAUAGGUUAAUGAGGCGAACCGGGGGAACUGAAACAUCUAAGUACCCCGAGGAAAAGAAAUCAACCGAGAUUCCCCCAGUAGCGGCGAGCGAACGGGGAGGAGCCCAGAGCCUGAAUCAGUGUGUGUGUUAGUGGAAGCGUCUGGAAAGGCGCGCGAUACAGGGUGACAGCCCCGUACACAAAAAUGCACAUGCUGUGAGCUCGAUGAGUAGGGCGGGACACGUGGUAUCCUGUCUGAAUAUGGGGGGACCAUCCUCCAAGGCUAAAUACUCCUGACUGACCGAUAGUGAACCAGUACCGUGAGGGAAAGGCGAAAAGAACCCCGGCGAGGGGAGUGAAAAAGAACCUGAAACCGUGUACGUACAAGCAGUGGGAGCCUCUUAAUGGGGUGACUGCGUACCUUUUGUAUAAUGGGUCAGCGACUUAUAUUCUGUAGCAAGGUUAACCGAAUAGGGGAGCCGAAGGGAAACCGAGUCUUAACUGGGCGUUAAGUUGCAGGGUAUAGACCCGAAACCCGGUGAUCUAGCCAUGGGCAGGUUGAAGGUUGGGUAACACUAACUGGAGGACCGAACCGACUAAUGUUGAAAAAUUAGCGGAUGACUUGUGGCUGGGGGUGAAAGGCCAAUCAAACCGGGAGAUAGCUGGUUCUCCCCGAAAGCUAUUUAGGUAGCGCCUCGUGAAUUCAUCUCCGGGGGUAGAGCACUGUUUCGGCAAGGGGGUCAUCCCGACUUACCAACCCGAUGCAAACUGCGAAUACCGGAGAAUGUUAUCACGGGAGACACACGGCGGGUGCUAACGUCCGUCGUGAAGAGGGAAACAACCCAGACCGCCAGCUAAGGUCCCAAAGUCAUGGUUAAGUGGGAAACGAUGUGGGAAGGCCCAGACAGCCAGGAUGUUGGCUUAGAAGCAGCCAUCAUUUAAAGAAAGCGUAAUAGCUCACUGGUCGAGUCGGCCUGCGCGGAAGAUGUAACGGGGCUAAACCAUGCACCGAAGCUGCGGCAGCGACACUAUGUGUUGUUGGGUAGGGGAGCGUUCUGUAAGCCUGUGAAGGUGGCCUGUGAGGGUUGCUGGAGGUAUCAGAAGUGCGAAUGCUGACAUAAGUAACGAUAAAGCGGGUGAAAAGCCCGCUCGCCGGAAGACCAAGGGUUCCUGUCCAACGUUAAUCGGGGCAGGGUGAGUCGACCCCUAAGGCGAGGCCGAAAGGCGUAGUCGAUGGGAAACAGGUUAAUAUUCCUGUACUUGGUGUUACUGCGAUGGGGGGACGGAGAAGGCUAUGUUGGCCGGGCGACGGUUGUCCCGGUUUAAGCGUGUAGGCUGGUUUUCCAGGCAAAUCCGGAAAACCAAGGCUGAGGCGUGAUGACGAGGCACUACGGUGCUGAAGUGACAAAUGCCCUGCUUCCAGGAAAAGCCUCUAAGCAUCAGGUAACAUCAAAUCGUACCCCAAACCGACACAGGUGGUCAGGUAGAGAAUACCAAGGCGCUUGAGAGAACUCGGGUGAAGGAACUAGGCAAAAUGGUGCCGUAACUUCGGGAGAAGGCACGCUGAUAUGUAGGUGAAGCGACUUGCUCGUGGAGCUGAAAUCAGUCGAAGAUACCAGCUGGCUGCAACUGUUUAUUAAAAACACAGCACUGUGCAAACACGAAAGUGGACGUAUACGGUGUGACGCCUGCCCGGUGCCGGAAGGUUAAUUGAUGGGGUUAGCGGUAACGCGAAGCUCUUGAUCGAAGCCCCGGUAAACGGCGGCCGUAACUAUAACGGUCCUAAGGUAGCGAAAUUCCUUGUCGGGUAAGUUCCGACCUGCACGAAUGGCGUAAUGAUGGCCAGGCUGUCUCCACCCGAGACUCAGUGAAAUUGAACUCGCUGUGAAGAUGCAGUGUACCCGCGGCAAGACGGAAAGACCCCGUGAACCUUUACUAUAGCUUGACACUGAACAUUGAGCCUUGAUGUGUAGGAUAGGUGGGAGGCUUUGAAGUGUGGACGCCAGUCUGCAUGGAGCCGACCUUGAAAUACCACCCUUUAAUGUUUGAUGUUCUAACGUUGGCCCCUAAUCGGGGUUGCGGACAGUGUCUGGUGGGUAGUUUGACUGGGGCGGUCUCCUCCUAAAGAGUAACGGAGGAGCACGAAGGUUGGCUAAUCCUGGUCGGACAUCAGGAGGUUAGUGCAAUGGCAUAAGCCAGCUUGACUGCGAGCGUGACGGCGCGAGCAGGUGCGAAAGCAGGUCAUAGUGAUCCGGUGGUUCUGAAUGGAAGGGCCAUCGCUCAACGGAUAAAAGGUACUCCGGGGAUAACAGGCUGAUACCGCCCAAGAGUUCAUAUCGACGGCGGUGUUUGGCACCUCGAUGUCGGCUCAUCACAUCCUGGGGCUGAAGUAGGUCCCAAGGGUAUGGCUGUUCGCCAUUUAAAGUGGUACGCGAGCUGGGUUUAGAACGUCGUGAGACAGUUCGGUCCCUAUCUGCCGUGGGCGCUGGAGAACUGAGGGGGGCUGCUCCUAGUACGAGAGGACCGGAGUGGACGCAUCACUGGUGUUCGGGUUGUCAUGCCAAUGGCACUGCCCGGUAGCUAAAUGCGGAAGAGAUAAGUGCUGAAAGCAUCUAAGCACGAAACUUGCCCCGAGAUGAGUUCUCCCUGAGACUUAGAGUCUCCUGAAGGAACGUUGAAGACGACGACGUUGAUAGGCCGGGUGUGUAAGCGCAGCGAUGCGUUGAGCUAACCGGUACUAAUGAACCGUGAGGCUUAACCUU